CUGACAGGAGGUGGAGCUUAGGUGGUAAAGCUGGCUGUCUCGCCACUCACCUCCUGCUAUGCAGCCUGGUUCCUAGCAGGCUACUUACAAGUCCACACCCCUAUUAUAAAGUAUAAUUGAGCAGCAACAUCAUGGAAUCAUGGAACAAUACUUGACUUUCUAGGGGGAAGUGUGAAGGAGUGAAGAGGACAGAGAUGGGGUUUCACCAUGUUGUCCAGGCUGGUCUCGAACUCCUAAGCUGAAGCAACAUGCCUGCCUAGGCCUCCCGAAGUGCUGAGAUUACAAGAAUGAGCCACCACACCCAGCCAAGGAUUUUGACUCUUAUCCUAUGAAUAAUGAGAAGCUGCUGGAGUGUUUUAAACUAGCAAGAAAACUAACAAAGUUUGCAUGUUGGAAAAUGUGCUUGGCAAUAAGUGAUCUUCUCCAACACACUGUUACAUGAGAAAAUUGACCUAAGACUAAGUAAAGUCACUUGAUGAAAAUUAUAGAGCUAGUUGUUGACAAAGCGAUGGCAAAGAUGCAUGUUUACGAACUCCUGACUCCCUGCCCACUUUGCCCACUUCCUCUACUUUGAGGCAGAAGAAAGUAUAAAAGUGAAAGGAAGAGAAUAUUGCAUGAUAUCCAAAGGCAGAACAUGAAUUCCAGUAAUUGCCUGAGAACUAUGGAACUGACUGCAGCUAGAACAUACAUUUGUUGUGUAAAUAGAGUGAUAAAUAUACUAAUAAAUGCAA
rnacentral:lncRNA from 1 species